CCCUCCUCCAUCUCCCCUCUCCGAGCCUCCGUCUCUCCCUCGCUCCCGCGGGUGGCGGCGAGCCAUGGCCGAACACGGCUUCAAGAUCGAGAUCGCCUUCGUCGGGAGGUUAGCGACCAUCGCCAUUGCCGGCUGCUUCGCGGAGGUUUGGUGCUGGGGGGCUUUUUCAGUUUGUAUUGGGCUCUCCUGUUGAUGUGAGCCUGAAAUUGAAUUUGCUUUAUCAAUAUGAUGACGAGCACGAUGAGUAUAUUUCAAUUUUGGAUUCUACACAUGCUUCUUAUACGAAGAAGAAGUUGAAUGUGAUGAUGAUGAUUAUUAUUAUUAUUAUUUUGUAAAUGAAUGUAAAUAGCAAUCUCUGAAUGGCAGAAGGGGAGAGAGAGAGAGUGGGGGAAGAGAUGGGAGGCAAAAGGGAGCACGACGGAUGAAAGGGU